rnacentral:rRNA from 1 species
GACGGGGGGUCCAAGCGUUGUUCGGAAUCAUUGGGCGUAAAGCGCGUGUAGGCGGUCUCUUAAGUCUGAUGUGAAAGCCCCGGGCUCAACCCGGGAAGUGCAUUGGAUACUGGGAGACUUGAAUACGGGAGAGGGUAGUGGAAUUCCUAGUGUAGGAGUGAAAUCCGUAGAUAUUAGGAGGAACACCGGUGGCGAAGGCGGCUACCUGGACCGAUAUUGACGCUGAGACGCGAAAGCGUGGGGAGCAAACAGG